rnacentral:rRNA from 1 species
UACGUAGGGUCCAAGCGUUAUCCGGAAUCACUGGGCGUAAAGCGUGCGUAGGUGGCGUGUUAAGUGUGCUGUUAAAUCGUGUGGCUCAACCAUAUCGAUGUGUCGCAUACUGGCAUGCUAGAGGGAAGCAGAGGCAAGUGGAAUUUGUAGUGUAGCAGUGAAAUGCGUAGAUAUUACAAGGAACACCAAUGGCGAAGGCAGCUUGCUGGGCUUCUUCUGACACUAAGGUACGAAAGCGUGGGGAGCGAACAGG